GCAAAUAUAGUUUAAGAAAAACAUUAGAUUGUGAAUCUAAAUAUAGAAGUUUAAACCUUCUUAUGUGCC
rnacentral:tRNA from 1 species